rnacentral:rRNA from 1 species
UGUUCCUACGGGAGGCAGCAGUGAGGAAUAUUGGUCAAUGGGAGAGACCCUGAACCAGCCAAGCCGCGUGAGGGAAGACGGCCCUAUGGGUUGUAAACCUCUUUUGUCGGGGAGCAAGACCCGCCACGAGUGGCGGAGCGAGAGUACCCGAAGAAAAAGCAUCGGCUAACUCCGUGCCAGCAGCCGCGGUAAUGCGGAGGAUGCGAGCGUUAUCCGGAUUUAUUGGGUUUAAAGGGUGCGCAGGCGGACCCUCAAGUCAGCGGUAAAAUCGUGGGGCCCAACCCCAUCCCGCCGUUGAAACUGGG